rnacentral:lncRNA from 1 species
UUCCAAAAUAAAAUCUCUUCUAUUUGCUUUUAAGUCCUUGUGCCUUCCAUGUUCGCACUUUUGGCACCAUAUUUGUCCCACGUUGCAUAUUGGCCUAUUUAAUCUCCAAAUUGACGCUUUUUCCCUUGAAUUUACUUUUCGCCUCCAAUUUAGUCCCUAAAAGAUAAAAAGACAUAAAUAGCUCAAAUUAGUAGGCUCAAGCUCAAAAUAAACACAU